AUUGAACGCUGGCGGCAUGCCUUACACAUGCAAGUCGAACGGUAGGGGGAGCAAUCCCCUGAGAGUGGCGAACGGGUGAGUAAAGCAUCGGAACGUGCCCAGUUGUGGGGGAUAACUACUCGAAAGAGUGGCUAAUACCGCAUACGACCUGAGGGUGAAAGCGGGGGACCGAAAGGCCUCGCGCAGUUGGAGCGGCCGAUGUCAGAUUAGCUAGUUGGGGGGGUAAAGGCCAACCAAGGGGACGAGCUGUAGCUGGUCUGAGAGGACGACCAGCCACACUGGGACUGAGACACGGCCCAGACUCCUACGGGAGGCAGCAGUGGGGAAUUUUGGACAAUGGGCGCAAGCCUGAUCCAGCCAUGCCGCGUGCAGGAAGAAGGCCUUCGGGUUGUAAACUGCUUUUGUCAGGGAAGAAAUCCCUUGGGUUAAUACCUCGGGGGGAUGACGGUACCUGAAGAAUAAGCACCGGCUAACUACGUGCCAGCCGCCGCCGUAAUAC
rnacentral:rRNA from 1 species